rnacentral:rRNA from 1 species
GAUGAACGCUAGCUACAGGCUUAACACAUGCAAGUCGAGGGGAAACGCCAUUGAAGCUUGCUUCGAUGGUCGUCGACCGGCGCACGGGUGAGUAACGUGUAUCCAACCUGCCUCUGACCAAGGGAUAACCCGCCGAAAGUCGGCCUAAUACCUUAUGCAGUCUUCGGAAGUCAUCUGAUGACGACGAAAGAUUUCAUCGGGGAGAGAUGGGGAUGCGUCUGAUUAGCUUGUUGGCGGGGUAACGGCGCACCAAGGCAACGAUCAGUAGGGGUUCUGAGAGGAAGGUCCCCCAGAUUGGAACUGGGACACGUUCCAAACACAUACGGGAGGCAGCAGUGAGGGAGACUGGUCAAGGGGCGAGAGCCUGAACCAGCCAAGUAGCGUGCAGGAUGGCGGCGUUAUGGGUUGUGAACUGCUUUUAUGCGGCGGUAAAGUGAGGUACGUGUCCUUGAUUGCAGGUACCGGAUGAAUAAGGACCGGCUAAUUACGUG